AGUGGUAAUGAUGAUGGUGGUGGUGGUAGUAGUGGUAAUGAUGGUGGUGGUGGUAGUACUGGUAAUGAAGAUGGUGGUAGUAGUGGUAAUGAUGACGGUGGUAGUAGUGCUAAUGAUGAUGGCGGUAGUGGUAGUAGUGGUAGUGGUAGUAGUGGUAAUGAUGAUGAUGGUGGUGGUAGUAGUGGCAAUGAUGGUGGUGGUGGUGGUAGUAGGGGUAAUGAUGAUGGUGGUGGUAGUGGUAAUGAUGAUAAUGGUCGUGGUAGUAGUGGUAAUGAUGAUGGUGGUGGUAGUAGUAGUGGUAAUGAUGGUGGUGGUGGUGGUAGUAGUGGUAAUGAUGAUGGUGGUAGUAGUAGUGGUAAUGUUGGUGGUGGUGGCAGUGGUAAUGAUGAUGAUGGUGGUAGUAGUGGUAAUGAUGGUGGUGGUGGUACUAGUGGUAAUGAUGAUGAUGGUGGUAGUAGUGGUAAUGAUGAUGGUGGUAGUAGUAGUGGUAAUGGUGACGGUGGUGGUAGUGGUAAUGAUGAUAGUGGUAGUAGUGGUAAUGAUGAUGGUGGUGGUAGUAGUGGUAAUGAUGAUGGUGGUAGUAGUGGUAAUGAUGAUGGUGGUAGUAGUGCUAAUGAUGAUGCCGG
ensembl:lncRNA